GUAGGGUGCAGUGAUGCAUGCCUGUAGUUCCAGCUAUUGAAGAGGCUGAACCAGAAGGAUUGCUUGAGUCCAGGAGUUUAGCACGCUAAGACUCUAGUGCACCAGCACUCUAGUGCAGUAAGCCAAUUGGGUGUCCACACUAAGUUCGGCAUCCGUGUGGUGACCACCUAGGAGCAGGGGACCACCAGUUUGCCUAAGGAGUGGUGAACAGGCCCAGAUCAGAAACCGAGCAGGUCAAAACUCCCCUGCUGAUUAGUAGUGGGAUCAUGCCUGUGAACAGCUGCUGUGCCCCAGCCUGGGCAACAUAGUGAGACCCCAUCUCC
ensembl:misc_RNA Metazoa_SRP Metazoan signal recognition particle RNA